AAAGAAAAAUAACUUGGUCAAGGGAUGCCAGCCAAUUCCUGUUGUAUUUGUGGGGAGAGAACAUGGAAUGGAGUUUAGCAAUUGCUCUAAAGCAUUGUAGAAAUCCUAAUUUCUCAAAUUCUCUCACACAUUCUUGAAUCUUCUCUUUGUUCAACAAGUUUGGGGACAAGUACUCGGGGGCCAUAACAGCUCUUGCAAACCCGAUUGGCAAUGGAAACUCCACCGCCUUCUUCGCGUCGCACGGAUGUUUCGCCAUCUUUCCCGAACCAGCUGCAGUCCAGCUCCGCAUCCCAAUAGGCAUAUAGGACCUUGAGGAAGUGGGAGCCGGAUUCCGAACGGGGUUCCUUCUGAUGCUGCAGGAAGCCGCCCAGCAUUCUGGUAAUGGAGUGUCAAGGCUCCAUCAGCUGUCCUUUAGCGGGCGCCCUUUUCUCCUUCUCCGCUUUAGCUGCCAAGCUGAUGGAGGUGAAGUCCUGUGGUCCCCCAAUGGAGAGCUCGUCGGAGACCGUUCUGGGGGUUGUGCUACAAAGGUCACGCCCGGCUGGAUGUCGAUGAAGGGAGCGAAGUCCCACUUGGCAGCACUUCAAAUUCAUUCCAUUUUUAAUUUUCAGUUUCCACACCGCUUUCGCACGAUUAAAUUUUUUAUUUUUUCGGCCCCGGCUAACAACGUUCAUCGACAUUCACUCGCUCAGUCUGGUAGUUUUUCUUAUAUUUCCAAAGCCCAUCUGAGUACCGCACUGAAAAACAGACCCGACGAAAAGCGUUAGCAGCGUAUUUGCAUAUCGCUCACUCCUAUUGUUGGCUCGCGGUUUUUGUCAAUGUGAGUACUAGGCCUUAAAAUUUUCAAAAUUUUCCUUGGUUCACUUUGGAGUCAUCCGGUUUAGAAAAAUUAGUUCUUUAUACCCUCUGUACACAGCCGCUUAAAAAUCGCUAUUGUAACUUAAAGCGGAUUCCUAUUCAUUUAGAUAAUCGCUGGAGCCAACAGCUAAUCGACUUAAGCAAAUCGUAUCCGAAUGCGGAGGACGCAAAAAUUCAGUUGCUGAAAAAAAAAUGAAAAACAACGCAAAACUAAAUUCAAUCUAAACACUAGCAUGUGGAAUGCUUUCAAUGCCAAGUGACCAGUUUGCCCUUCAUUGACCAGUUUGAGCUUUUUAGAGUGUAUGGCCGGCUGAGGAAUUCGUCGCUAGAUUUUAUAUAAUGGCGGAUCUUCUAAAGGAGCGAAUUGAUGGAUUUCAUGCAUUGAUUUUUGCAGGCCAUUCCUCCAGUAAAAUGUUACGUUUGAGUCUUCGUUUGCUUUCCCACAAGAGCUAUCUAUUUGGAGCUGGUCAAGGAUAUCUCAACAAAGUCAGUUUUUCAUGGCGUGUUACGUACGCCCUCCACAUAAAAAGAUUCUAGUACGGAACAAACGACGAGUCUUGAGACGGGGAGAGGGGUGCAUUUGAUUAACCAGACUCAGACUGGUAAACGCAGAAGAAAAUGCAAUUCGCCAAUUUGCGGGUGUCGCGUGGCCAGAACAACGGCCACGAUCGACCUACUGGUAAUCAUACUCAGGUAGUGGCAAAGUGCAACAGCCGGCCGUUGAGUCCCAAGAUAGCAGAUUUUAAGAAACAGGAUGCCUAGGUGGGAACACCUAGUUAAUACGAUCCAUGCCGGCAACCAAGUAAAAGCUCUAGUCUUGUAUAAAAGUCUUUAGACAGUUAAAGAAAGAGGGAGAAUCCAUUUGGGUGUCUUGCUGACGGAAGACGGCAGCUCCGAGGGAAGGUGACUUUCCCUGAGGUAGUCGUCCACGGAGUCUUCUGCCACCAGGACCCAACAGUCUAUAGGGAGGAAACAAAUCGCAGCUCGAAAGAAUCUUAUACCGCCAUAGUCAUCAAAGAACGUGGAGAGGAUCAACAAUAAGGACGACAUCCGACAUACUGUGAUGAUUGUUCAGCUUUAGGAGCCAUCCGUUCAGAGGCGUAUUGACCAAUAGCAUACUUCGGCGAAAGUAGUGAUCAAUCAAAGCUAAAGUGACCCUAUGCAUAACCAAAGACCAAUAUCCUUAAGCAAUACAAUUGGGGAACAAGUUAAAAUCAAAAAAACAUUGGAAGCAUUCAAAAUUGCAUUGAAAUACAUUUAAACAAACCGAAUCGAUAGACAAAGUCCGAAUUAUGAUGAACAGUUAGAGAAGACGUGUCUCCAUCAGCCGUUGAUGAAGUCGCAUGCCUUUGGAAUAUAUAUAUAUAGUGACGUAUCUGCACUGCGAUUUCUCAACGGCCACCAGUUCAAAGAACGAAACCGUUUACAAAUAAACAGAAUCGCCAAUUUCGGCUUUGAUUAAAA